rnacentral:rRNA from 1 species
UUUCCAUUAUUCAAUACGACUCUCGGCAACGGAUAUCUCGGCUCUCGCAUCGAUGAAGAACGUAGCGAAAUGCGAUACUUGGUGUGAAUUGCAGAAUCCCGUGAACCAUCGAGUCUUUGAACGCAAGUUGCGCCCCAAGCCGUUAGGCCGAGGGCACGCCUGCCUGGGUGUCACGCA